AAGGCUUUAGCUUAAUUAAAGUGCCUGUUUUGCAUACAGGAGAUGUGGGUUAGUCUCCUGCAAGUCUUA
rnacentral:tRNA from 1 species